GUGGGGAAUAUUGGACAAUGGGCGCAAGCCUGAUCCAGCAAUGCCGCGUGAGUGAUGAAGGCCUUAGGGUUGUAAAGCUCUUUCACCGGGGAAGAUAAUGACGGUACCCGGAGAAGAAGCCCCGGCUAACUCCGUGCCAGCAGCCGCGGUAAUACGGAGGGGGCUAGCGUUGUUCGGAAUUACUGGGCGUAAAGCGCGCGUAGGCGGCUUGACAAGGUGGAGGUGAAAGCCCGGAGCUCAACGUCGGAAUUGCCUUCAAGACUGUCUCGCACGAGGCAGGGAGAGGAGAGCGGAAUACCCAGUGUAGAGGUGAAAUUCGUAGAUAUUGGGUGGAACACCGGUGGCGAAGGCGGCUCUCUGGCCCUGAUCUGACGCUAAGGCGCGAAAGCGUGGGGAGCAAACAGGAUUAGAAACCCUGGUAGUCC
rnacentral:rRNA from 1 species